UGGGCUUGUAGCUCAGCCUGGUCAGAGCGGCGGUCUUAUAAGCCGUAGGUCGUGAGUUCAAAUCUCACCAGGCCCAU
rnacentral:tRNA from 1 species